CCAGGGUGAGCCAGCGUCACUGAUCUCGAGGGUUCCCCCCACAUCACUGCACAGCUGGCACUUACUGCUGCGAAGGCAUUGUUUGGUCUGUGGGGAAAAGUAGCUCUAGAGCUGGAAAAUCAAGUUUUAUCAUAAACGGUCAUUGUUUAGGAU
rnacentral:lncRNA from 1 species